UUCAUUUUUCUGCCAAUAUUGAUCUCAGCCUGCCAUCCUGGAAUAUGUCACAAAUGUCUCAAUUUCUAAAAUGCACAUCCAGAAGCUGAGAGAAAGGCUUGCUGGAGGAGCUAGGUGCAAAGAAGAACAGCUCUUCCCAGCAGAGAUGUGAGAAAAAGACGAGAGGAGGGGUUGGGUUAGACUCAACACACUCUUCCCGAAGGUUGAUCAGUUGUCGUUCCUUGACAUCUCAGUGCAUUAAAAUGGCAACUUACAGAAGUCGGGUCGGGGGGGCAGCUGCCUAAGCAAGGAAACCCAGACUUCCCUCUCACCGGCCACAUUCACCAGCUCAUCCGGAGGGAUCCCGAGGUGUUCCCAGGCUAGCCGAGAGAUGUAGUCCGUCCAGCGUGUCCAGGGUCUUCCCCGGAGCCUCUUUCAGGUGGGACGUGCCCGGAACACCUCACCAGGGAGGCGUCCAGGAGGCAUCC